rnacentral:lncRNA from 1 species
AGUCUUUUUUUUAGCUCACCUGGCCCGAAGGGCCAAGUGAGCUUAUGCCAUCACUUGGCGUCCGUCGUCGUCGUCGUCUGUCGUCGUAAACUAUUUCAAAAAUCUUCUCCUCUGAAACUACUAGGCCAAAUACUUCCAAACUUUAACUGAAUGUUCCUUAGGGUAUCUAGUUUAUAAAUUGUAUCCGAAGUUUUGAUCUAUCAACAAACAUGGUCGCCAUUGCUAAAAAUAGAACAUAGGGGUCAAAUGCAGUUUUGGCUUAUAUCUCAAAAACGAAAGCAUUUAGAGCAAAUCUGACAUGGGGUAAAAAAUGUUCAUUAGGUCAAGAUCUAUCAGCC